rnacentral:rRNA from 1 species
GAAUACCGCGGGUAAAGACGGCCUCCCCCCCGACAGUUACCCUCAGAGGGUAAGAAAGCGUGCGGAGCAAACAUUAUUACCCCCGUAGUCCUCCACGCUGUAAACGUUGUCUACGAGGAGGUGGUGACUUAGAGCCGUGGUUCUCGGAGAUAACGCGUCAAGUACACCGCCUGAGGAGUGCGGUCGCACGAUUAAAACUCAAAUGAAUUGACGGGGGCCCGCACAAGCGGUGGAGCACGUGGUUUACUUCGAUGCAACGCGAAGAACCUUACUUACUCUGGACAUCCAGAGAAGCCGGAAGAGAUUUUGGUGUGCCUUCGGGAGCUAUGAGACAGGUGCUGCAUGGCUGUCCUCAGCUCGUGUUGUAAAAUGUUGGGUUAAGUCCCGCAACGAGCGCAACCCUUAUCCUUGAUUCCCAGCACUUCGGGUCGGAACUUCAGGGAGACCGCCGGUGAUAAACCGGAGGAUGGUGGCGACGACGUCAAGUCAUCAUGGCCCUUACGAGUAGGGCUACACACGUGCUACAAUGGCGUAUACAGACGGCAGCUAACUUGCGAGAGUGUGCGAAUCCCAAAAAGUACGUCGUAGUCCGGAUUGGAGUCUGCAACUCGACUCCAUGAAGUCGGAAUCGCUAGUAAUCGUAGAUCAGAAUGUUUCGGUGAAUACGUUCCCGGGCCUUGUACACACCUCCCGUCACACCAUGUGAGUGGGCGUGCAAAACAAGCAUGGUAGUGUAACCUUCGGGAGGACGCUGUCACUUGUAAAGGCCC